rnacentral:rRNA from 1 species
GACGGAGGAUGCAAGUGUUAUCCGGAAUCACUGGGCGUAAAGCGUCUGUAGGUGGUCAAAUAAGUCAACUGUUAAAUCUUGAGGCUCAACCUCAAAAUCGCAGUCGAAACUAUUAGACUAGAGUAUAGUAGGGGUAAAGGGAAUUUCCAGUGGAGCGGUGAAAUGCGUAGAGAUUGGAAAGAACACCGAUGGCGAAGGCACUUUACUGGGCUAUUACUAACACUCAGAGACGAAAGCUAGGGUAGCAAACAGG